UACGUAGGUCCCGAGCGUUGUCCGGCUUUAUUGGGCGUAAAGCGAGCGCAGGUGGUUUAUUAAGUCUGGUGUAAAAGGCAGUGGCUCAACCAUUGUAUGCAUUGGAAACUGGUAGACUUGAGUGCAGGAGAGGAGAGUGGAAUUCCAUGUGUAGCGGUGAAAUGCGUAGAUAUAUGGAGGAACACCGGUGGCGAAAGCGGCUCUCUGGCCUGUAACUGACACUGAGGCUCGAAAGCGUGGGUAUCGAACAGG
rnacentral:rRNA from 1 species